rnacentral:rRNA from 1 species
CCUACGGGGAGCAGCAGUGAGGAAUAUUGGUCAAUGGGCGCUAGCCUGAACCAGCCAAGUAGCGUGAAGGAUGACUGCCCUAUGGGUUGUAAACUUCUUUUAUAUGGGAAUAAAGUGCAGUAUGUAUACUGCUUUGCAUGUACCUUAUGAAUAAGGAUCGGCUAACUCCGGGCCAGCAGCCGCGGUAAUACGGAGGAUCCGAGCGUUAUCCGGAUUUAUUGGGUUUAAAGGGAGCGUAGGCGGGUUGUUAAGUCAGUUGUGAAAGUUUGCGGCUCAACCGUAAAAUUGCAGUUGAUACUGGCAUCCUUGAGUACAGUAGAGGUAGGCGGAAUUCGUGGUGUAGCGGUGAAAUGCUUAGAUAUCACGAAGAACUCCGAUUGCGAAGGCAGCCUGCUAGACUGUAACUGACGCUGAUGCUCGAAAGUGUGGGUAGCAAACAGGAUUAGAUACCCGUGUAGUC